rnacentral:snRNA from 1 species
UAGUGCUCACUUCAGCACUAAGAUACUAAGAUACAGAGAAGAUUAGCAUGGCCCCUGCACAAGGAUGACAUGCAAAUUCGUGAAGCGUUCCAUAUUUUU